AUUGAACGCUGGCGGCAUGCCUUACACAUGCAAGUCGAACGGCAGCAUGAUCUAGCUUGCUAGAUUGAUGGCGAGUGGCGGACGGGUGAGUAAUACAUCGGAACGUGCCCUGUAGUGGGGGAUAACUAGACGAAAGAUUAGCUAAUACCGCAUACGACCUGAGGGUGAAAGUGGGGGACCGCAAGGCCUCAUGCUAUAGGAGCGGCCGAUGUCUGAUUAGCUAGUUGGUGAGGUAAAGGCUCACCAAGGCGACGAUCAGUAGCUGGUCUGAGAGGACGAUCAGCCACACUGGGACUGAGACACGGCCCAGACUCCUACGGGAGGCAGCAGUGGGGAAUUUUGGACAAUGGGCGAAAGCCUGAUCCAGCAAUGCCGCGUGUGUGAAGAAGGCCUUCGGGUUGUAAAGCACUUUUGUCCGGAAAGAAAUGGCUCUGGUUAAUACCUGGGGUCGAUGACGGUACCGGAAGAAUAAGGACCGGCUAACUACGUG
rnacentral:rRNA from 1 species